CAGUAGCCACGGGAAUACGGAGGAUCCAAGCGUUAUCCGGAAUCAUUGGGUUUAAAGGGUCCGUAGGCGGUCUUGUAAGUCAGUGGUGAAAGCCCAUCGCUCAACGGUGGAACGGCCAUUGAUACUGCAGGACUUGAAUUAUUGGGAAGUAACUAGAAUAUGUAGUGUAGCGGUGAAAUGCUUAGAGAUUACAUGGAAUACCAAUUGCGAAGGCAGGUUACUACCAAUUGAUUGACGCUGAUGGACGAAAGCGUGGGUAGCGAACAGGAUUAGAUACCCGAGUAGUCCCUGUCUCUUAUAA
rnacentral:rRNA from 1 species